rnacentral:rRNA from 1 species
GUGCCAGCAGCCGCGGUAAUACAUAGGGGUCACGCGUUGUCCGGAUUUAUUGGGCGUAAAGAGCUCGUAGGCGGUUCAACAAGUCGGUCGUAAAAGUUUAGGGCUCAACCCUAAAAUGUCGAUCGAUACUGUUGUGACUAGGAUACGGUAGAGGUGAAUGGAAUUCCGAGUGUAGCGGUGAAAUUCGUAGAUAUUAGGAGGAACACCAGUGGCGAAGGCGACUCUCUGGGCCAUCACUGACGCUCAUGGACGAAAGCCAGGGGCGCGAAAGGGAUUAGAUA